rnacentral:miRNA from 1 species
CGGCACACUCGCACACACACA